AUGUCUUUGCAAUCACAGAAGCAGCAGGAGGCGACGCAGACGAGCUCUGGUCAGGAAGCAAGGCGAAUGACGGAGGCCUGGAGUGACGGGGGCUUGACCAUGAAGGCAUUCUGUGACUACAUUUUUACCUGCCCUCUCAGGGAGGAACGAGGGCAUCUGGUUCUCAGAAAACAACUCCACGCCUCAUAUAUUAUGGAAGAGUAUGUAACGGGAACGGAUGACGGACCUGAGGGGAUUUCAGGGCUGGAAUGUGCUGGAUACGCCUUCGGCACUUCCUCAGACCCUCCUGACUUCACCUGCUUUAUCAGAUUCUGCUGGCUUCACCUGCAACUUGGGCCCCAAGCUGGUUGCUCUCUCUUGGUCAUCAUGCCUCCCUGUAAGUUCCUCCUGAGAGGGAUAAAACACAUAACCAGCGUCUCUGGUUCCUCCCAUCACUUCCAGACUCAGAUACAGCAUCACAGCAAAGGGUAUAGGAUCUGGCUUUCCAAAUAAUUCUCAAAGGGACCCAAAUGAUGCCACUCAGACAUGUGCUGAGAUUAACGCCACAUGGGGCAGACUCUGAUCGAUGGGAAAUAAGGGAAGGGAAGGAAACUGGCAGAUACAUUCCGCCUCAUCCCUCUGCUGAACGGAAUGCUCCCAGAGACAGUUCCUCCAUAUAACGUGCCUGGAGACUUCCACGUGGCUGAACAAGUCUCUUGUUGGCAACCUGCUUUUCUCAGCUCAUCCCGAGACACGGUCGGCUCAGUAAUCACCGCCUUGCAUUGCUUUGCAAUCUGCUCCUUUCCUCCCCUUUUUCCUCACUCUUACUGCCCUCGGUUUAUACAGCACAAUAAGACUGGCAGCACCUAAUCCCUGCUGCAGGCUCCAUUCUCUAGGGUAAAGUGGUAAACAGAAUAGUGGCCCCAAAAGAGGUCUAUGUUCUAAUCCCCGGAACCUAUGACUGUGUUACCUUUCAUAGUAAAAUGGAUUUGCAAAUACGCUUAAGUUAAAUGUGUUAAGAUGGGGAAAUUAUCCUGGAUUAUCCAGGUGAGCCCAAUGUGAUCACAGGGACCCCUAAGAGAGGGAGGCAGGAGGGUCAAAGUCAGGAGAAGGUGAUGUCAGGUUGGAAGCAGAGAUUAGAGAGAUGUAGCCAUGAGCCAAGGAAUGCGGGCUAGUCUAGAAGCUAGUAGAGGAAAGGAUUGGCCUCCCCUGGAGUCUCCAGAAGGGACCCUAACAACACUUUGUGCCCCAUAAGACUCAUUUCACACUUCUGACAUCUGGAACUGUCGGAGAAUAAAUCUGUGUUGUUUUAAGCCA
rnacentral:lncRNA from 1 species